rnacentral:rRNA from 1 species
GACGUAGGGCGCGAGCGUUGUCCGGAUUUAUUGGGCGUAAAGAGCUCGUAGGCGGCUCGUUGCGUCGACCGUGAAAACCCGCGGCUUAACUGCGGGCUUGCGGUUGAUACGGGCGGGCUAGAGUUCGGUAGGGGAGACUGGAAUUCCUGGUGUAGCGGUGAAAUGCGCAGAUAUCAGGAGGAACACCGGUGGCGAAGGCGGGUCUCUGGGCCGAUACUGACGCUGAGGAGCGAAAGCGUGGGGAGCGAACAGG